rnacentral:lncRNA from 10 species
GGGCGGGGCAGGCUCCGGGGCGCGAGGGACCCUGCGCACUGGGCCUUCCGGGCGGCACUGGCACAGCGCCCCUCCUGGGGCUGCCCCCGACCCCCACAUCCCUAUGUCCUCCACCCCUGCACCCCAGAGACACCACGAACAGGCGGUGCGAGCUCCCGGGCUCCGCGCUCUGCAGCGCCCCUGUGCAUGGGGCGGCCUCAGGAGGCCUGGGCUCCCGCAGCAGCGCCGGCCUCGGGCUGAGGUCCCCCAGCCAGGGCUCCACUUCCCGCUCAGCGGACCGCAGGAGUAAACUGAGGCACAGAGCGAGCCAGACCCCCACCUGCCCCAUUCCCUACUUGAGCACUCCUAGAGGUAGGUCCAGCCUGGCCUUGGUGUCCGGGACUGCUGCCAGGACAGAGGACAGAGCAAUCAGACGCAAGGACCUGCCCCAGGACAACCGAGACAGCACGGCUGCCAAGAACCUUUUGUCAGAGAUGCCUGGAGAGCGUUUCUCUCAUUCCAACCAGGUGUGGGAAGGAGGCUGCCUCAGGCUGUUCCUAGACAGCAGUGAAGUCGAGCCCUGUGCCUGGCUGACGGAAUCUACUUCCACGUCAGGGAUUGACCGAAACAGCUCCCCAGCUGGAAAGAGAGCUGGUUCUCGGUCCCCACCUCGGAAGGCCUUCAGCUCCAGGCUUGGUGUCCCACCCUGGCCCCCGUCGGGCUCGUGUUCACAGGAAUUCAUCAUUUCCCAGCCUCUAGAUUACUCUGAGGCUGAUUAAAUUAGCGAAUGCAAUCACAAUCUGAAGCAAGUUAAUUGAGAGAAUUUAUUUGGGUCUGACAGUUUUAUGCAUGUUUGAUUAAGUAUUAUAAGGUUUGUUUUUGACUUUGCAUAAUUUAACUUUAAAUCCUGCAUGGGGGGGCCCAUCAACCAUUAAUGACCAAAAUAAACCUCUUGUAAGAUGCUUCUUUUUAUGAUUUAUUUCUGAAUGCAAUAUCUUCCAGAUUUUUUUGAUGCUAUUGCCAAAGUGACAAAUAUGUUUAAAGUAACAUUUUGAGUCAUCCCAUUCACCCUGUAAAUCUUCCAGAAUGUAUACAAUUCAUUAAAAGUUUUGAAAGAAGUACAAGUUAGCAUUUAUAUUGCAACAAGUGACAUAUAAAUGCGUAUGUUUGUCUUCCAACCGCGCCAUAAAAUAUAUCCCCCCAUGAGCUCCUCAGAGCCGUACAAAUCGUCCACGCACUGGGGUAAUGAUAAACUUGGUCACAAAUCUUCACUGCUGUCAACACAAAACUGUUCAAUCAACAGGAAUAUGAGUUGUGUGUUUUGUGAAAUUAGCACAGGAGAAAAUACAGCCCAGGCCUGGGUCUAGGGACACUGUGGCCCUGGGAGGAGGGCCUGAACCCAGGGUGAGUGCUAACCUUGAAUGCAGGCUUCCUAAGCCCACUUUGUAAUCUGAAUCUGGGUGUUAUGAGGCCACUUGCAUUAGGCGGCCAAGGGCCUGCUGCCCAGAGAAGACCAGGACCACCAAGAAGAUGGACAAGCAGCACCAUCCUCCCCAUGCUAAGAGCCUGGGGUCUCUGUCCAUGAGCCUAGCCAAUGCCCUGCAUUCCAAGAACAUCACUGCUUUCCAACGGUGGUGUUUAUUAAGCACUUAUUCUGCCC